rnacentral:rRNA from 1 species
ACUCCUAUGGGAGGCAGCAGUGGGGAAUAUUGCACAAUGGGCGCAAGCCUGAUGCAGCAACGCCGUGUGAGUGAAGAAGGUUUUCGGAUCGUAAAACUCUGUCCUAAGGGAAGAAACAAAUGACGGUACCUUAGGAGGAAGCCCCGGCUAACUACGUGCCAGCAGCCGCGGUAAUACGUAGGGGGCAAGCGUUAUCCGGAAUCACUGGGCGUAAAGGGUGCGUAGGCGGCUUAGCAAGCCAGGGGUGAAAGGCAUUGGCUCAACCAAUGUAAGCCUUUGGAACUGUUAAGCUUGAGUGCAGGAGAGGUAAGUGGAAUUCCUAGUGUAGAGGUGAAAUUCGUAGAUAUUAGGAGGAACACCAGUGGCGAAGGCGACUUACUGGACUGUAACUGACGCUGAUGCACGAAAGCGUGGGUAGCGAACAGGAUUAGAUACCCUGGUAGCACAGAG